rnacentral:rRNA from 1 species
CUAACACAUGCAAGUCGAACGCGAAAGUCACUUCGGUGGCGAGUAGAGUGGCGGACGGGUGAGUAACGCGUAGGAAUCUGCCCUGUAGUGGGGGAUAACCCGGGGAAACUCGGGCUAAUACCGCAUACGCCCCACGGGGGAAAGCGGGGGAUCCUUCGGGACCUCGCGCUAUAGGAAGAGCCUGCGUCGGAUUAGCUAGUUGGUAGGGUAAAGGCCUACCAAGGCGACGAUCCGUAGCUGGUCUGAGAGGAUGAUCAGCCACACCGGAACUGAGACACGGUCCGGACUCCUACGGGAGGCAGCAGUGGGGAAUAUUGCGCAAUGGGCGAAAGCCUGACGCAGCCAUGCCGCGUGUGUGAAGAAGGCCUUCGGGUUGUAAAGCACUUUCAGUGGGGAGGAAAGAGCCCAGGCUAAUACCCUGGGUCGUUGACGCUACCCACAGAAGAAGCACCGGCUAAUUCCGUGCCAGCAGCCGCGGUAAUACGGAAGGUGCGAGCGUUAAUCGGAAUUACUGGGCGUAAAGCGCGCGUAGGCGGCUUGGUAAGUCGGAUGUGAAAGCCCCGGGCUCAACCUGGGAACGGCAUUCGAUACUGCUGAGCUGGAGUACGAGAGAGGGGGGUGGAAUUCCAGGUGCAGCGGUGAAAUGCGUAGAGAUCUGGAGGAACACCAGUGGCGAAGGCGGCCCCCUGGCUCGAUACUGGCGCUGAGGUGCAAAAGCGUGGGGAGCAAACAGGAUAAGAUACCCUGGUAGUCACGCUGUAAACGAUGUCUGCUAGCCGUUGGGAUCCUUGAGGUCUCGGUGGC